UACAGAGGUCUCAAGCGUUGUUCGGAUUCAUUGGGCGUAAAGGGUGCGUAGGCGGCGCGGUAAGUCGGGUGUGAAAUCUCGGAGCUUAACUUCGAAACUGCAUUCGAUACUGCCGUGCUUGAGGACUGGAGAGGAGACUGGAAUUUACGGUGUAGCGGUGAAAUGCGUAGAUAUCGUAAGGAAGACCAGUGGCGAAGGCGGGUCUCUGGACAGUUCCUGACGCUGAGGCACGAAGGUCAGGGGGAGCAAACGGGG
rnacentral:rRNA from 1 species